rnacentral:lncRNA from 1 species
UAUGACUUAAAGAACCGAUGAAGCACCAUACAAAGUGCCAGCAAAACAAUGAGUCUUAAAUUCUUAAAAUCUUGGAUGGCCUGAGAGUGAAAACAUUUUCACCAAAUUUUCAUUUUUGGAUGAACUAUUCCUUUACAGGCUAGAAAGCUAGGUUUGCAUUCUAUGCUAAUUGCUAAUUAUUUGUUUUCUAAACAUUUGUUUUCCAUAAAAUGGACUUUUUUUUGAGUGAACUUAUUUUUUUACUAUUUGCAACAGACGUGGAAACGGCUUUAUUGCUGGAGUCAUUAAUGCAGACCAUCGGAAUAAUGGUACAAUGUUCAUUUAUUUAUUCGUUAUUUUUCUAAUGACUUGAGAAACACCAUCUGAACUCUUAGAAGUGUCACUUCAAGUGUAUGUCUGUUCACUAUUUAUUGUAAUGAACACUUUCCACAUUAUCUGUCCUAAAUCAGCUCGGGCAUCUCGUCAAAUGCUGCCAGGGAAUGUUGCAGUUACUGUGUCUGCUAUAUCGACCCCAAUGAACACUCGCCACCAACCAGGAGGUCGUCACUUGGACCCGCCUUUUACUGAUGGUUACGUAUUACAACACAUUUAUGGAAGAGGAGGGAACAGGUCUCUGCUUUGGUACAGAGAUGGACAACACGAGAAGGAGGAGAGAAAUUUGCUUCUGAAGGAGAAGAAGAAAAAAGCUGGAAGAAAGAGGAAAAGAUCCCACCAUGCUGGUCAUUAGAGGGGCUAAAGAUCUGACCAGCAUGUCUCAGAUCAAACAUUAAUAAUAAACAUAGAAAUUUCACAGUUUUGUUCUUUUUGGUUUACUUAUUUUAAGAUGCGGUCACAUUUACCUUUUGGUGAAUUUUUGCAGGCAAAGUGCAGUCAUUUCAAUAGAAAUCUACACAAAAGUUUUACCCAAGCAGAUUUUACACUGGGUUCAAGUUGGUCAAGCAAAUUCACUGCUUGGUUUGAAAGUGACUUCUGAGUUAUGAUUCAAACAGCAUUAGACUAAUGAAAAUGGACAAUGUACCUUUUUGUUGCCUGCAAAAUUUCACUAAUGUGACUGCAACUUUAUUGUGUUAACUAAAAAAUAAGUUUACUGUGUGUUUACUAACAAAAUAAGUUUAUUGUUUGUUUACUAACAAAAUAAGAUGCUUUUUCAUGGUACUGAACUAAUUCUCAGCUGCAGUUAAACAGAUAAUUCACCAAAAAAAAAAAAAACCCAUUAUUUACUAACCUGGUGUAUAUGCCUUUCUUCUUUUAGACAAAUACAAUCAGAGUCAUUAAAAAUUAAAAAUGUCUUGGCUCUUCCAAGCCUUAUAAUGGCGGUUAAUGGGAGUCGAUACUUUAAAGCAAAAUAAACUGCAUCCAUCCACCAUAAAAAAGUGCUCCACACGCCUCCGGGGGUUAACUCCAUAGGUGUUCCUGUGUCUCAGUGGUAGAAUGUUGCGUUAGUGGCGCAAAAGGGUUAUGGGUUCGAUUCCCAGGGAACACAUGUUAGGUAAAAAAUGUUAGCCUGAAUGCACUGUAAGUCACUUUUAUCCAAAGCGUCUGCUAAAUGCAUUAAUGUAAAUGUAAUAAAGUCCUUCUAAAGUGAAUCAAUGUGUUUGUGUAAGAAAAAUAUCUGUAGGCAAUUAAAACUUUAUAAACCGUAAUCUCUAGCUUCUGCUUACUGUUGUACAUGCGUUCACGACAGAGUGACAUCCAGCAGAUGACGUAGGCAUAGCUUAAGCUCCAGUAGCAGUUCACACCAAACCAGAAGGGCUGUUCACACCAAGAAUGAUAACUAUACUGAUGACUACUAAUUUUAUGAGUAUUGAGAAAAUCAUACCACCACUUUAACAAUAAUGACACAGAAGAAAAAUAUCAUUAAAAUCACCUUCAGGACAAUUUUUUACAGUUGUUCCUCCUCCAAAGUGCAAUGGGCUGUGGGCACUAGCUGUAGUAGAACUGGUAAGUAGAGCAUCCAGGAACCUUUGGGAUUCUUAUUUUAACAAUACAAUUUGGAGCACAUUAAUUCUAAUUCAGAAUUUUAUUUAAGAGAGUAUGUAAACAGAUAUUACAGUAUCCAGCAACAGUUAUGGUUAUCUUUAUAGCUAAUUUUUCUUAAUGUGACUGAGCCUUUAGUAGGAAUGGGCAUUUAUAGUGUUUAAAAAUGGUAGUAUCAUCAAGGCAAACUAUUAUUGGAUGAAUUUCACAUUUGUGUUCAUUGAAUUUGAGGAUUAUUCAUUAUCACUUUCAGUGUACAGCAAUUCACAAUAAAGCACUAUAUAAAUACCUCAUUUAUUCAUUCAUUCAUUAAUAAAUAUUAACAACAUGGAUGAUUGUCCUUGAAGCUUAGUGCUGUCGAACGAUUAAUCCCAAUUAAUCGAAUCCAAAAUAAAAGUUUUUGUUUACAUAAUAUGUAUGUGUGUGUAAUGUAUAUAUUUAUUAUGUAUAUAUCAAUACACACACAUUUUGAAAAUAUUUACAUGUAUUUAUUUAUAUUCAUAUCAUUUAUAUUACCGUAUUUUCCGGACUAUAAGUCGCACUUUUUUCAUAGUUUGGCUGGUCCUGCGACUUAUAGUCAGGUGCGACUUAUUUAUCAAAAUUAAUUUGACAUGAACCAAGAGAAAUUAACUAAGAGAAAUGAACCAAGAGAAAACAUUACCGUCUACAGUCGCGAGAGGGCGCUCUAUGCUGCUCAGUGCUCCUGUAGUCUACCCCUGAAAACAUAGAGCAUAGAUGUUAAUGGUGUAUUUCUUCAGAGACAGAAAAAAUAUUCCCCCAGGUAUCAGUCUUUAUUUAAUUAAAGUCAACUGAUUGAGAUAUUUGAUUAAUUUAAAGCUAAAGGCCAGAUAUUAAAAGUAAGCAUACGAUACCUGUCAAAAGUUUUUGAGCAGUAAGAUUUUUUGUUUUUUUUAAGAAUUCUCUUCAGCUCACCAAGCCUGCAUUUAUUUGAUCCAAAAUACAGCAAAAGCAUCAAUAUUGUGAAAUAUUUAUACUAUUUCAA